GAUGCCCAAAUUGUGAGACUAAGCCCUCCGUCUGAAAACUCUUCAGACACUUCGAAUUGAAGAUUAGCUCCAAACCUAUCCUUCCUUUAUCGAAACCGAAUUCGCCAAGGAAAUGAGUACAACGAUUUACAUGUUGUUGCGUCAUAGAUGUGGAGAAAUGGUUCUCUCUAUGUUUGAAAUCAAGAUCCCAAAAGAUGAAACAGCGGAACCUCAUCAUCUCUCUGCGAUUCUUGAAUUUCCGGAACGAGAAUAUCCCAGAGGAAUGUGCUCCGUCCAGUUGGGGUCUGAAUUCUACUUUCUUGGUGGGGAACAUGACUUGAGGACGAAUUAGCUCCUCUUGAUCAAUUUUGGUUGACGGCAAAGGUUCGAUGAAAAGGGGUGUGUCUAUGAACGCCGGAAAAUGUGAUCCAUGUCCAGUUGUGGCUGAUGGUAUGAUUUUUGUUCUUAGUAGCAGCCUUGUUUUUAACUUCACUGUACCUGGUUAUACCGAGAAAGGGAUGCCCAUCGAUAAUUCUAUCAGAUUUUUUUAAUGCUUUGAUCCUGAGAGCGAUAAAUGGAUGGUUCUUGAUGAUCCGCCAAUAGAUAUUCCGAUCUGGUGGCACUUCUCCUUUGUUGGCGGAAGGUUUAUUUUCUUUGUUGGCCGUGAUGCAGACCAUUUCAGGGUACUUUCAGUCCUCAAUCUGGACACCUUAGAAUGGACAUCCUCGACGAAGUUGGAGAAAGAGAAGAUUACCGAUGACGAUUUUCUCACUUUUACUGCAGUUGGGGAAGAUAGCAGCGACAAAUACCUUUAUGGUUUGCAUGGACUUCUCCACAACCGUAUCUUAAGGUCAGGGCCCUUGUCUAAUAUAGACCAAAAUCCAAGAAUGUUCAGCAGCGUCCCAAUUAAGACUAUAUCAAUGAUGGAAGAAGUCGACUCUUUUCAUAAGUUGAAUUGUGGCAGUUUUAUUUUGCACUUGGGGAAUCGGCGUUUCUGUUAUCUGCUCACUGGAUCUCCUCCUCGUGGUUUUGGAUUUCCUGCUACUAUUCAAGAUGAUUACUCCCGCACUGUUAAAUUGUUUGUCUUUGAGGAAACCAACUGCAGUGCAUCCGAAUUUUAUCCAAAUGUUGUUUAUUCUGCCAGUUUUGAGAUCAAAACUUCAUUCAUUAGUAAGGGUGAUAUCAUUAGCUGCCAUAUCCUUAGCCCAGGAGAGAAGCAUGAGAGCAUGAAGAGGAAACAAGAAGAUAACUGACAAAGGAAUUUUGGUGGUGACCAAAUGGAGAUUGAAGCAACAAUUGGUUAGAAAUAGAUCUACUAUUUUGUGGCAGAGGCUGUAGCGCAUGCAACUUCAUUCCACAUAUUGACAUACAUGCAAAUUCAUGUAUAUCUGAUGGAGUCUCUUUAAUAUUUUGUUUUGAAGCUGGCUUUGUGUUUUAGUUGUUGCUUUGUAGGACUCUUGUAGUUGUUCCAACCGGUGGGGGUGGUGGUGGUUGUUGUGUGUUAGGUGGCGUACCAUAAAAGUGGUAUAUGGGUAGUUAGUUAUAGGUUGGAGUGUAAAUAUCUGGUCUAACUAUUUAUUUUCCAUUUAAAAUUACGUGGAUACUCAUAUCAACGUAAUCCAAAUAAACUCCAGUCUACUCAUUUUAUGCAUUUGGUGAUAAAUUAGUAGUGGUAGUGGCAGCACCUAUUGAUUAGUUUGUUUUUAUUCAUUUAAUUUAAUACCCAUUAGUAGGAGUGUACUGUUUCGGUUCUAGUUCAGGCUUUACCUUGCAAUUGGAGUCAAACUAAAAUUAGGUAUGGUUUUUCGGUUCAAUUCAAUUUAGUUAUCG
rnacentral:misc_RNA from 1 species